rnacentral:tRNA from 1 species
GUUGCUGGUGGCCAAGCUCAUUAAGGCGCCGCUGUUUUAUAUGGCGGUUGGCAGCCAGGCCAACGUGGGCGGCGCUGCGUCCGCACCUGUGGUG